AAUAAUCAAAAUCAUGUUAAUCAACAGAACUAAACAUGAUUAAAAUAAAUUAAUAUGAUUAAUCACAGAUUAAUGGAAAGCUAAGAACAAAUCAUAGGUUAAUGGGCCUGGUGUGUGAAUUGAGGGGUGUAGUAAGAACAUGAAUUGCUUGGGCCAAAGGCCCAAUUCUUCAAAACCCUCAAAAUCGGGUUCUCCAUCAAGAACAUGCCGCUUUACUCAAAUCAUCCACACGCCCAGGUCAAGAGAACAUGAUCAGGUCAAGGAAGUUUCACUUGCGGGAAAAUCAGCAAUGCUGAACUCGAUUCAACAUCCGUGUUAUCAAGCGAAUUCGUGUUCAACUCAACCUUCAAUUGAAACCGAAAUUGAGUUCGUGGUGUUCAUUCUUGCGUGCAGAAUGCAAAAAACGUGAAGGAAGAAAAGGACCUAUCAGAUUCGUGCGUUGUGUGCGUCGUCGAGGAAUUGAUUGUUCGAUGCGCUAAAUUGCAUUGCAAUGAAGAGUGAAUAAUUUGUGAAUACACGAUGAAGAGUGAUACGUUGUUACAACGUGUUGCUUUGUUCAACUCGUUCGUGCGUUCAAGGUUGAAGAGAGAUGUUCUCACUGAUCGUCUGUCGUCGUCCAGUUCUUCGCAUUGUGAAGACGAGGAAAGAGGAGUGUCCCGAACGGUUUCACUAAAUAUGUAUAUGUUCAAUUUUUGGUUACGAUUUUGUUGUGAAGCUUCUGUUGCAAAUUGGUUUGUUCCGUUUUUUCUUCUUCGCUUUCUGCGUUCUAUUUGCAGCUCCUCCUUUUUGAUUUUCUUGUUCUCUAAUUCUACCGUUCGUGUUGUUAUUGAAUGAUGAAGAGUGAACCUUGAGUUCAAUCAAAAAAGAAAGUUUAUGUUUUUUUUUAAGGUUCUGGAUUUGGUUAGCUUAAAGGGCUCUGUUUUGGAAGGUUUUUGUAGGUUGCAGGGUGGUGGUUGAGUUGGAGAGGGAUUGGAGGAUGAUGUAGGAUGAGGUUGAAGAAGAGGGUUGGUUGAAAUUCUAUUAAGAGGGAGUGAAGGUUUGGUUAUGGGUAAGUUGUUGGUUAUGAAGGUUUGGUUAUUGAGAAGUUGUUGGCCAGUUGAGGGUUAUGUUAUAUAUUCUGCUGUAGGUUGUGUUUUCAGUUCCAAACUCGGUUAUUCGGUUAUUCGAUCUGUUAUAUGGUGGUUGGAAAUUUGGUUAGAAAGUUUUUUGAAGGUCUAUUUUUUGAAGGUUUGAAUGACCGGUUCAGUUUUGUGAACUGCGUUUUCUGCAGGUUUACUUUCGGUCCUCAUUGUCAUACCCCAAAAUUCACCCUACCCAAAAACAACUUUCAUCAGAUCUAUGAUCCUAUUACACAUACAUUUAUUCA
rnacentral:lncRNA from 1 species